rnacentral:rRNA from 1 species
UACGAAGGGGGCUAGCGUUGCUCGGAAUUACUGGGCGUAAAGGGAGCGUAGGCGGACAUUUAAGUCAGGGGUGAAAUCCCGGGGCUCAACCUCGGAAUUGCCUUUGAUACUGGGUGUCUUGAGUAUGAGAGAGGUAUGUGGAACUCCGAGUGUAGAGGUGAAAUUCGUAGAUAUUCGGAAGAACACCAGUGGCGAAGGCGACAUACUGGCUCAUUACUGACGCUGAGGCUCGAAAGCGUGGGGAGCAAACCGG